UAUAAGGGAAUUUGAGUUUUUACUUGCAACGUUUGACCACUCGUCUUAUUUAAUUUUUUUUUGAAAUUAUUAUUUAUUUUUAUUUAUGACUUACUUUAUUAUCUACAGUACUUUAAGCAUAACUUUUGUUUUUUAUAUUUGUAAAAAAAAUUUGAAUAAGACGAAUGGUCAAACGUUACAAGUAAAAACUCAAAAUCCCUUAUA
rnacentral:pre_miRNA from 1 species